rnacentral:rRNA from 1 species
UUGACGGGGCCCGCACAAGCGGUGGAGCAUGUGGUUUAAUUCGACGCAACGCGAAGAACCUUACCAGGGUUUGACAUGCUAGUGGUAGGGAUCCGAAAGGUGACCGACCCUCGGGGAGCUAGCACAGGUGCUGCAUGGCUGUCGUCAGCUCGUGUCGUGAGAUGUUCGGUUAAGUCCGCUAACGAGCGCAACCCUUGCUGCGUGUUACAUGUGUCACACGGGACUGCCGGUCUUAAACCGGAGGAAGGUGGGGAUGACGUCAAGUCAGCAUGGCCUUUAUGUCCUGGGCUACACACACGCUACAAUGGCCGGUACAAUAGGUUGCGAAGCCGCGAGGCGGAGCCAAUCCUCAAAGCCGGCCUCAGUUCAGAUUGCAGGCUGCAACCCGCCUGCAUGAAGAUGGAGUUGCUAGUAACCGCAGGUCAGCUAUACUGCGGUGAAUACGUUCCCGGGGCUU